rnacentral:lncRNA from 1 species
ACCUGAUCUAUGUUCACAUCUCCAGCCUUUUCCACUGCUUCUUCUUGCUUCCCACUUAACCUGCUGAGCCAAGCCAAAGAGGUGGUAACAUGGGAACAAGUUCCUCUGGCCUUGUUGUUUGAAGAUUUCAGCAGAGACUCCAUCAGCUUCUAAACUACUGCUAUAUCUACCUGAUGGCUUUCAGGAGAUUGAACUGAACAGCACAAAGAACUCUGGCAUUUGCCACGUUUCAAGUGAGCCUCCAAAACGCAAUAGUCUCCAUCCCUAGCUCUUAAUAUGCUGGAUCAUAAAAGUCUUUAUUAGAAUGGGGGUGCGUUGCAAAAGAAGACGUUCAGUGAGAGUUUGAAGAGACGGGGGGGAGGGGCAUUUGUUAACUGUGACACCAGGUUUCCAGAGGGUGCUGUACACCAGUAGGGAGCAGUGAGAGACUCC